UUGAAUGCAAUUGGAGUUGGUUGUCGCUGGCCUCUUUACUGAGGCAUGUGCACGCCUUCUCCGUUCAUCCACACACACCUGUGCACUUGUGAGACGGACUAACCCUUCCGAGGGGAUGCCCCGUCUAUUAUACAUAAACUCCAAUAUAUAAAAAUUGAAUGUAAUCAGAUGUAACGCAUCAUUGAAC
rnacentral:misc_RNA from 1 species